GACGCACCAGUCCGUGGACGGCCGGGACGCGGCGAUGAGCGGGCUGGGGAGCGGCGCCGGGCGGCGUCGCCGCUGUUCGACACAGGGGUUCGUCC
rnacentral:tRNA from 1 species